rnacentral:pre_miRNA from 1 species
AGGAGCAACAGCCCUAGUGGCGGGUCCAGCUCUGCAGCCCUGGAUUCAGCUCCGGCAGGAACUCCGUCUGCAGGGCCUGGAGGCUCCGGGCGGGG